UGGAGCAUGUGGUUAAUUCGAAGCAACGCGAAGAACCUUACCAGGUCUUGACAUCCCGAUGCUAUUUCUAGAGAUAGAAAGUUACUUCGGUACAUCGGUGACAGGUGGUGCAUGGUUGUCGUCAGCUCGUGUCGUGAGAUGUUGGGUUAAGUCCCGCAACGAGCGCAACCCCUAUUGUUAGUUGCCAUCAUUCAGUUGGGCACUCUAGCGAGACUGCCGGUAAUAAACCGGAGGAAGUGGGGAUGACGUCAAAUCAUCAUGCCCCUUAUGACCUGGGCUACACACGUGCUACAAUGGUUGGUACAACGAGUUGCGAGUCGGUGACGACGAGCUAAUCUCUUAAAGCCAAUCUCAGUUCGGAUUGUAGGCUGCAACUCGCCUACAUGAAGUCGGAAUCGCUAGUAAUCGCGGAUCAGCACGCCCGCGGUCGAAUACGUUCCGGGCCUU
rnacentral:rRNA from 1 species